GUAUGAGGCCGGCUAACAAGUCAGAAAAUGAAGUGGAUCUCGCCACUCGGCCUGAGCCGUAUUAAUUUGAAGCUGGAGUGUUUCGGCCAUUUGUCAGCACCGAAUUCAUCUUGCAGGAGUUGCAAGCAAUCAGGGACUUUGUGGACCGUGUUGAGGUACACAAAGGACUUCAGAGUGGACUUCCAAUCCCAAAGGCUAGGCCUAGACAACUUGAGUUAUACCCAAACAGUGGACGCUUCCUGUCCUCUACCAGACCUGUCCUCUAAUUCAACAGAAGCUUAUUUCAUGAACUGAGGUAAACUGCAAGAAUGGGAACCAGUCAAGAACUGAAGAAGGCCAUUAUCAACAAAUGUCAUAUGAGGGCGAAGUCUAAGACUUCACAAAGAGAGGGAAGAAAUGAUUGAUGAUCCAGGUAUUGUUUUUUUGGAUACUGAUAUCCUUUUGCCUUUACUACCCAUCCUGUUAUGCAUCCCUGCCCAUCCAGCCUUUGUUUAUUCUGAGUUAAACUGAAAGAGAGUUCUACAAUUUGUCUCAAAAUGAUCUUGCUGUCCUUGCCUUGGCUAGUAAAUCCUCUUAUAUGUAUUCAAAACAUCAAGUCUUUAGGUUAUUUGCAUUAGAUUAACUUCUUUUUAGACAUGUUGUACUUGUUUUAAGUCAUUUUAUACAGACAACGUCUUAUUUGAUUAAAAAAGCUGCAUUAUCAAAAAAAUAAUGCUUGAAUCAAGAACUACUGCCUUUCAAUGGAACCAGACACUUUUAUUUGGUAA